AUACGUAGGGUGCGAGCGUUGUCCGGAAUUACUGGGCGUAAAGAGCUCGUAGGUGGUUUGUCGCGUCGUCUGUGAAAUUCCGGGGCUUAACUCCGGGCGUGCAGGCGAUACGGGCAUAACUUGAGUACUGUAGGGGAGACUGGAAUUCCUGGUGUAGCGGUGAAAUGCGCAUAUAUCAGGAUGAACACCGGUGGCGAAGGCGGGUCACUGGCCAGUAACUACCUCUGAGAAGAAAAAGCUGGGGUAGCGAACAGGAUUAGAUACCCUGGUAGUCCAUGCCGUAAACGGUGGGCGCUAGGUGUAGGUGUCUUCCACGACUUCUGUGCCGUAGCUAACGCAUUAAGCGCCCCGCCUGGGGAGUACGGCCGCAAGGCUGAAACUUAAAGGAAUUGACGGGG
rnacentral:rRNA from 1 species